UACGGGGGGGGCAAGCGUUGUUCGGAAUUACUGGGCGUAAAGGGCUCGUAGGUGGCCAACUAAGUCGGACGUGAAAUCCCCAGGCUUAACCUGGGAACUGCGUCUGAUACUGGUUGGCUUGAAUUCGGGAGAGGGAUGCAGAAUUCCAGGUGUAGCGGUGAAAUGCGUAGAUAUCUGGAGGAAUACCGGUGGCGAAGGCGGCAUCCUGGACCGAGAUUGACACUGAGGAGCGAAAGCCAGGGGAGCAAACGGG
rnacentral:rRNA from 1 species